UUUUAUAUAGCUAAAUCGGUAUUAAGAGAUUACUUAAGAUCUCUGACCUACUGUGGCAUAUAUCUACACCAGGACUACUACAAGCAGGCUU